GCUCCCUUGUUUCCCCCAUUGACCUCUUCCAGCCUGCUCCUGUCCUCUAGCCCAGGCCUUUAUCACCCUAUUCUCUGUGUCCAUCUGUUAUUCAUAUAUGCAUAUAAGUUCUUUAGUUAAUCUCUUCAUGC